rnacentral:rRNA from 1 species
UACGUAGGGUGCGAGCGUUAAUCGGAAUUACUGGGCGUAAAGCGUGCGCAGGCGGUUAUGCAAGACAGAUGUGAAAUCCCCCGGGCUCAACCUGGGAACUGCAUUUGUGACUGCAUAGCUAGAGUACGGUAGAGGGGGAUGGAAUUCCGCGUGUAGCAGUGAAAUGCGUAGAUAUGCGGAGGAACACCGAUGGCGAAGGCAAUCCCCCUGGACCUGUACUGACGCUCAUGCACGAAAGCGUGGGGAGCAAACGAGGAU